rnacentral:rRNA from 1 species
AGCUCUGCUAGCGUAUAUUAAAGUUGUUGCAGUUAAAAGGCUAGUAGUUGAAUUUCUGGUAGGAGUGAUUGGUCCAUCACAAUGUGUUGGUACCUGAUUGUCUCCGGCCAUCCUUGGAAAGAGCCUUCAUGGCAUUAAGUUGCCGAGUUGGUAAUUUCCAUCGUUUACUGUGAAAAAAUUAGAGUGUUCAAAGCAGGCUUAUGCCAUUGAAUAUAUUAGCAUGGAAUAAUAAGAUAGGACCUUGGUACUAUUUUGUUGGUUUGCGCACCAGGGUAAUGAUAAAUAGGGACAGUUGGGGGUAUUCGUAUUCAAUUGUCAGAGGUGAAAUUCUUGGAUUUAUGGAAGACGAACUACUGCGAAAGCAUUUACCAAGGAUGUUUUCA